GCCGAGGUAGCUCAGCCUGGGAGAGCAUCCGACUCGUUACCGGACUGUCGCAGGUUCAAGUCCUGCCCUCGGCA
rnacentral:tRNA from 1 species